GGGAGGAAGAGAAAGAGAGAGGAGGAGAGGAGAGGGGAGAGAGAAAGAGAGGAAAAAACAUGGCGCUUGCUAGCUGUAUGUGCAAAAUCCGCAAGGAAUUGCAGUAAAUUCCUUUUUGUUUGAAGAAAAUUUACAACUUGGUAAUAGACCUUUUUAUGACCUAUUUGCGGUCGUCAUUGGCUGCGGCUGGUCAUGUGCAGGCGCCGCUCGCCUUCACGGCCUUUUUCCUGAUUUCCCAGGCGAAUUUCCCCCCGCAUUCUGCUUUCCCAGAGCCUCACCCCCUCUUUUUCUAACCUUUGUCUCUGCAGAGGUGGGCUCCAGUCCUCGGCUGCGGGAUUGUGGAGUCCGCGGCGGCCUGGGCUCCUGCCCGGCGCCGGACCUAGCCCCACCGCCGCUCGCUCGCCCCGCACCGCUGCCACCUCCGGAGCUGGUGGGGAGCCCGGCGGGGAGCCUGGAAGGAGCCCUGGGAGCCGAGCCCCCCGCCGGAGCGACACCGCCUGCCAGGAGCAGCCGGCCUUUUCGGCGGGAUGGCAUCCGCGCGGUUCCGAGGCGGUUCCUUCUCCCACUUGAGCGGAUCCCUGCCGCCUAGAGUGCGCGCAGCCGGGCAGCGCCUAAUGGAUUACAGCAGCCGCCCGGGCCGACCGCCGCCUCCAGCUCAGCAGCCUCCGGAUUUUGAACAGCAGUUGAAGAUGCAGUUUGCAAAUUCUAUUGCCUAUUCUCUCCUGAACACGCUGGGAAAUAUGAAAACCUUUGGACAAUCUGCCGCAUUGCGUAUAAAACUGACCUGCGCAUGGCAGGGUAUGUUCCCCAAAGCACGUAGUGGCAAAUUCUAACUUAGUGUUCCCUCAAAUAUUCCAGUGUAACAAUGUUAGCCAUGAAAGCAUUUAUGAACAAUAAAUGUCAUAUUUGUGAAAA